CAGAUUGAGAGCCUCCAACAGCAGAGACCUGGACUCCUGGUUGACAGAUGAGACGCUUGUCACAUACCAUCACUGCCUUUAGAUAACACUGAUAGGUGUUCCAGAUCCAGGCGCCAUCUUUGUUAAACUUCUUCAUCAGCGCCAUGGUGACCAGAGUGAGAGCCGGGUUCAUGUUGACAAGACAUUAGAAGAGGAACAAAAACUGAGCUGACCAGCUGGCAUUAAUAAAAGGUCAACACUUUUUCAGUGAGCUAUCGGUCUUCCUCAAUCGGAACCGCCAACAUGGGCCUCAGUCCCAUCAAGCUCAUUUUUCCCAUGGACUGGGAGAUCUCCAUCUCGUUUUCU